rnacentral:rRNA from 1 species
GUUGUUGGGGUGCUAGUCAUCUCAGUAAUGCAGCUAACGCAUUAAGUGUACCGCCUGGGGAGUACGGUCGCAAGAUUAAAACUCAAAGGAAUAGACGGGGACCCGCACAAGCGGUGGAGCAUGUGGUUUAAUUCGAAGAUACGCGAAGAACCUUACCUGGGCUUGAUAUCCUAAGAACCUUUUAGAGAUAAGAGGGUGCUAGCUUGCUAGAACUUAGAGACAGGUGCUGCACGGCUGUCGUCAGCUCGUGUCGUGAGAUGUUGGGUUAAGUCCCGCAACGAGCGCAACCCACGUAUUUAGUUGCUAACGGUUCGGCCGAGCACUCUAAAUAGACUGCCUUCGUAAGGAGGAGGAAGGUGUGGACGACGUCAAGUCAUCAUGGCCCUUAUGCCCAGGGCGACACACGUGCUACAAUGGCAUAUACAAUGAGACGCAAUACCGCGAGGUGGAGCAAAUCUAUAAAAUAUGUCCCAGUUCGGAUUGUUCUCUGCAACUCGAGAGCAUGAAGCCGGAAUCGCUAGUAAUCGUAGAUCAGCCAUGCUACGGUGAAUACGUUCCCGGGUCUUGUACUCACCGCCCGUCACACCAUGGGAGUUGAUUUCACUCGAAGCCGGAAUACUAAACUAGUUACCGUCCACAGUGGAAUCAGCGACUGGGGUGAAGUCGUAACAAGGUAACCGUAGGAGAACCUGCGGUUGGAUCACCUCCUUUCUA